rnacentral:rRNA from 1 species
CCUACGGGGCGCUGCAGUGGGGAAUAUUGGACAAUGGGCGAAAGCCUGAUCCAGCCAUGCCGCGUGUGUGAAGAAGGCCUUCGGGUUGUAAAGCACUUUCAGUGGGGAAGAAAGCCUUGGGGCUAAUACCCUCGAGGAAGGACAUCACCCACAGAAGAAGCACCGGCUAACUCCGUGCCCAGCAGCCGCGGUAAUACGGAGGGUGCGAGCGUUAAUCGGAAUUACUGGGCGUAAAGCGCGCGUAGGCGGUCUGAUAAGCCGGUUGUGAAAGCCCCGGGCUCAACCUGGGAACGGCAUCCGGAACUGUCAGGCUAGAGUGCAGGAGAGGAAGGUAGAAUUCCCGGUGUAGCGGUGAAAUGCGUAGAGAUCGGGAGGAAUACCAGUGGCGAAGGCGGCCUUCUGGACUGACACUGACGCUGAGGUGCGAAAGCGUGGGUAGCAAACAGGAUUAGAUACCCUAGUAGUC